GGGGUUUGUUUUUUUUACUUUUUUAAACUUUUAUCUGAGCUAUGUCCGGCCGUGGGAAGCAGGGCGGGAAGGCGCGGGCCAAGGCCAAGUCGCGCUCGUCGCGGGCCGGGCUGCAGUUCCCCGUGGGCCGCGUGCACCGGCUGCUGCGCAAGGGCAACUACGCGGAGCGGGUGGGUGCCGGCGCCCCGGUGUACCUGGCGGCCGUGGUGGAGUACCUGACGGCCGACAUCCUGGACCUCGCGGGGAGACAACAAGAAGACGCGCAUCAUCCCGCGGCACCUGCAGCUGGCCAUCCGCAACGACGAGGAGCUCAACAAGCUGCUGGGCAAGGUGACCAUCGCGCAGGGUGGGGUGCUGCCCAACAUCCAGGCUGUGCUGCUGCCUAAGAAGACUGACAGCCACAAGGCCAAGGCCAAGUAAAUCUCUUUCAACAACCGACCCAAAGGCUCUUUUCAGAGCCACCCACGUUGUCCCAGA